GUGCUCACUUUGGCAGCACAUAUAAUAAAAUUGGAAUGAUAGGAAGAAGACUGGCAGGCCCCUGCACAAGGAUGACAUGAAAUUUGUGAAGCGUUCCAUAUUUUU